AACCUCCGCAAUGUGAGAAAUCGCGACGGGGGGAUCCCAAGUGCCAUUCUUAACGGGAUGGCUUUUCAUUAGUGUAAAGAGCUUUUGGAAUAAGAGCUGGGCAAGACCGGUGCCAGCCGCCGCGGUAACACCGGCAGCUCUAGUGGUAACAAUUUUUAUUGGGCCUAAAGCGUCCGUAGCCGGUUUAAUAAGUCUCUGGUGAAAUCCUGCAGCUUAACUGUGGGAAUUGCUGGAGAUACUAUUAGACUUGAGACCGGGAGAGGUUAGAGGUACUCCCAGGGUAGAGGUGAAAUUCUGUAAUCCUGGGAGGACCGCCUGUUGCGAAGGCGUCUAACUGGAACGGUUCUGACGGUGAGGGACGAAAGUUAGGGGCGCGAACCGGAUUAGAUACCCGGGUAGUCCUAACUGUAAACGAUGCGGACUUGGUGUUGGGGUGGCUUUGAGCUGCUUCAGUGCCGAAGGAAGCUGUUAAGUCCGCCGCCUGGGAAGUACGGUCGCAAGACUGAAACUUAAGGAAUU
rnacentral:rRNA from 1 species